GUUUGAUUAUGGCUCAGGAUGAACGCUGGCGGCAUGCCUAACACAUGCAAGUCGAACGAGAAUCUGCGGAUAGAGGAUUCGUCCAAUUGAAGCAGAGGACAGUGGCGAACGGGUGAGUAAUGCAUGAGCAACCUGCCCUUCAGAGGGGGACAACAGUUGGAAACGACUGCUAAUACCGCAUAACAUUUCCGGAAGGCAUCUUCUGGGAAUCAAAGAUUUAUCGCUGAAGGAUGGGCUCAUGUCUGAUUAGCUGGUUGGUGGGGUAACGGCCCACCAAGGCGACGAUCAGUAGCCGGUCUGAGAGGAUGAACGGCCACAUUGGGACUGAGAUACGGCCCAGACUCCUACGGGAGGCAGCAGUGGGGAAUAUUGGGCAAUGGGCGCAAGCCUGACCCAGCAAUGCCGCGUGAAGGAAGAAGGCCCUCGGGUUGUAAACUUCUUUUAUCAGGGACGAAGGAUGUGACGGUACCUGAUGAAUAAGCCCCGGCUAACUACGUGCCAGCAGCCGCGGUAAUACGUAGGGAGCAAGCGUUAUCCGGAUUUACUGGGUGUAAAGGGCGCGUAGGCGGGAUGGCAAGUCAGAUGUGAAAUCUAUGGGCUUAACCCAUAAACUGCAUUUGAAACUGUCGUUCUUGAGUACUGGAGAGGUUGACGGAAUUCCUAGUGUAGCGGUGAAAUGCGUAGUUAUUAGGAGGAACACCAGUGGCGAAGGCGGCUUACUGGACUGUAACUGACGUUGAGGCUCGAAAGCGUGGGGAGCAAACAGGAUUAGAUACCCUGGUAGUCCACGCCGUAAACGAUGAUUACUAGGUGUCGGUGGGUAUGGACCCACCGGUGCCGCAGCAAACGCAGUAAGUAAUCCACCUGGGGAGUACGUUCGCAAGAAUGAAACUCAAAGGAAUUGACGGGGACCCGCACAAGCGGUGGAGCAUGUGGUUUAAUCCGAAGCAACGCGAAGAACCUUACCAAGUCUUGACAUCCCAUCGAAUAAAGGGUAAUGCCUUUAGUCCUUCGGGACGAUGGAGACAGGUGGUGCAUGGUUGUCGUCAGCUCGUGUCGUGAGAUGUUGGGUUAAGUCCCGCAACGAGCGCAACCCUUAUUCCCAGUAGCCAGCAAGUGAGGUUGGGCACUCUGGGGAGACUGCCGGGGACAACCCGGAGGAAGGUGGGGAUGACGUCAAAUCAUCAUGCCCCUUAUGAUUUGGGCUACACACGUGCUACAAUGGCGUAAACAGAGGGAGGCGAGCCCGCGAGGGGGAGCAAAUCCCAAAAAUAACGUCCCAGUUCGGAUUGUAGUCUGCAACCCGACUACAUGAAGCUGGAAUCGCUAGUAAUCGCGGAUCAGAAUGCCGCGGUGAAUACGUUCCCGGGUCUUGUACACACCGCCCGUCACACCAUGGGAGUCGGAAAUGCCCGAAGUCUGUGACCCAACCUUAGGGAGGGAGCAGCCGAAGGCAGGUCGGAUGACUGGGGUGAAGUCGUAACAAGGUAUCC
rnacentral:rRNA from 1 species